rnacentral:rRNA from 1 species
AGCCGUGUUUACACGGCGAGACCGCGGACGGCUCAUUAAAUCAGUCGUGGUCCAUAUGGGCUAGAGUUAAUCCUACUUGGAUAACUGUGGUAAUUCCAGAGCUAAUACAUGCAACUCUUAUCCCGACGUAGCGCGGCAUAUCUAACGGUUUGUCGUAGCGCUGACGGAUGCUUUUAUUAGACCAAACCGCUGGGUGCGUGUUCGUGUUUACUCGCGGAUGCGUACUACUCGUUUAAUGGUGACUCUGGAUAACCUUAUUGACAAGCGCACGUACUCCUCGUGGGACGGCGCUGCCACUUUCGAGUGUCUGCCUUAUCAGCUAUCAAUCGUUUGUUACGUGCACACGAUGGCUUUGACGGGUAACGGGGAAUCAGAGUUCGAUUCCGGAGAGGCAGCCUGAGAGACGGCUACCACGUCCAAGGACGGCAGCAGGCACGCAAAUUACCCAAUCCCAGCACCUGGGGGAGGUAGUGACGAAAUAUAACGAUGCGGGCGCCCUUUCUGGGGCCCCGCAAUCGGAAUGGCCACUUUCUAAACAACCUGUUGAGAACCUACUGAAGGGCAAGUCUGGUGCCAGCAGCCGCGGUAAUUCCAGCUUCAGUAGCAUCUAUUAAAGUUGCUGCGGUUAAAAGGCUCGCAGUUGAAUGUCAGUAUCGAGCGCAGGUCAGGUGGACGCUGGGGCGUGAACAUCAAAGGCGCUUCGCUUGUGUUGAUUGCUGACGUGUGUGUGCGCGCGCGCGUGUGUGUUCGUACGAAAGUGCGUCCAUAUUGCGUGUGUGUGUGUGCAUGCGUUUCUUUUGACUUUGAGUUGUGUCGUUCACAUGUCCCCGUCCGUAACAAGCCUCCUCGCUUGUGUACAUAACGGAAUCUGUAUUACGGAGUGUGCGUUGCGAGGAGUUGUAGCACUGCGUUUGCUGCCUUUCUCUUUCUCGUGUUGUGCGUGUUGUGCUCACUUUUGUGGGUGCGCGCGUGCGUGCGGGGCGGGGUUUGUGUGGUGGGCGUGCGUUGUCUCUCUCUUUUGCGCGUACGUUAAGCUCCAUCGGUUCUAUAGUCACCCUGAGUAAAUCAGAGUGCUCAGAGCAGUCGUAGGGGCCUUGUGCCCUUUGAACAGUCUAGCGGACUGACUUGGUUUUGCAUGGUAUGUCGUAAGACGACGUUUAGCGCUGGCUCAGAGUGUUUGUAAUUCAGUGGUACAAGCCAGCCUAGACGUAAUGAUUAAAAGGGACAGUCGAGGGCACUGGUAUUGCGAGGCGAGAGGUGAAAUUCUAUGACCCCCGCAAGACCUCCUGAAGCGAAAGCGUCUGCCAAGGAUGUUUUCAUUAAUCAUGAACGAAAGUUAGAGGAUCGAAGGCGAUCAGAUACCGCCCUAGUUCUAACCCUAAACGAUGCCAACCACCAAUCCGCGUGUAGCACCUUUCUUAACGGGCUCGGCGGGCAGCUCCUUACUUACGGGAAACCAGAGUCUCUGGGUUCCGGGGGGAGUCUGGUUGCAAAGCUGAAACUUAAAGGAAUUGACGGAAAGGCACCACCAGGCGUGGAGCCUGCGGCUUAAUUUGACUCAACACGGGCCAUCUCACCAGGCCAGCACUCUUGAACGAUUGACAGAUUGAGAGCUCUUUCUCGAUUUAGUGGAUGGUGGUGCAUGGCCGUUCUUAGUUGGUGGAGUGAUCUGUCUGGUUAAUUCCGAUAACGAACGAGACUCUCCCCUGCUAACUAGUCGGUUGGAUCUUGAUCUUAUGUUUCAUAUGUAUCGCUGUGAGUCGUGUGCCGAGUAAACCUGGCGUUGCCUGGGAGGAGGAGGUUGUUGGGUGGUGCGCUGAUGUGCUUGUGCGUGUGUGGCUCUAGCCUUGUGUUACGAGUCGUGCCGUGCUUGUGUGUUGGUGUUACCUCUCUCUCUUCUUUUUCUUUUGGUUUGCGUUGGGCCUUGGAUUGCACACUCCAAGUCCGCCGCUUAUGCUUAAAACUCUUCUUAGAGGGAUUCACGGUUCUGAAGCCGUAAGAGACUGAGAGCAAUAACAGGUCUGUGAUGCCCUUAGAUGUUCUGGGCCGCACGCGCGCUACAAUGCCGGGCACAGCAGGUUCUUUUCCUACUCCGACAGGAGCGGGUAACCCUGUGAAAGCCCUAUGUUUUACAGUUUAACGGGUGUCGAGCUCGUCUCGAUGCUCUUCUGGCGUGAUUGGGCCUGGGUCUUGCAAUUUUUUCCCACUAACGAGGAAUGCCUUGUAGCGGCGGGUCACUGAGCCCGCCGUGACUCAGUCCCUGCCCUUUGUACACACCGCCCGUCGCUACUACCGAUUGGGUGUACCAGUGAGAGCCUUGGACUGGCGUCUGCUGUUUCCUUAACUGUGUAAACAAGC